rnacentral:rRNA from 1 species
GAUGAACGCUGGCGGCGUGCCUAAUACAUGCAAGUCGAGCGAACAGACGAGGAGCUUGCUCCUCUUACGUUAGCGGCGGACGGGUGAGUAACACGUGGAUAACCUACCUAUAAGACUGGGAUAACUUCGGGAAACCUGAGCUAAUACCGGAUAAUAUAUUGAACCGCAUGGUUCAAUAGUGAAAGACGGUUUUGCUGUCACUUAUAGAUGUAUCCGCGCCGCAUUAGCUAGUUGGUAAGGUAACGGCUUACCAAGGCAACGAUGCGUAGCCGAUCUGAGAGGGUGAUCGGCCACACUGGAACUGAGACACGGUCCAGACUCCUACGGGAGGCAGCAGUAGGGAAUCUUCCGCAAUGGGCGAAAGCCUGACGGAGCAACGCCGCGUGAGUGAUGAAGGUCUUCGGAUCGUAAAACUCUGUUAGUAGGGAAGAACAAAUGUGUAAGUAAAUAUGCACGUCUUGACGGUACCUACUCAGAAAGCCACGGCUAACUACGUG